rnacentral:rRNA from 1 species
GUGGGGAAUAUUGGACAAUGGGCGAAAGCCUGAUCCAGCCAUGCCGCGUGUGUGAAGAAGGUCUUCGGAUUGUAAAGCACUUUAAGUUGGGAGGAAGGGCAGUAAGUUAAUACCUUGCUGUUUUGACGUUACCGACAGAAUAAGCACCGGCUAACUUCGUGCCAGCAGCCGCGGUAAUACGAAGGGUGCAAGCGUUAAUCGGAAUUACUGGGCGUAAAGCGCGCGUAGGUGGUUUUGUAAGUUGGAGGUGAAAUCCCCGGGCUCAACCUGGGAACUGCCUCCAAAACUACUGGGCUAGAGUACGGUAGAGGGUAGUGGAAUUUCCUGUGUAGCGGUGAAAUGCGUAGAUAUAGGAAGGAACACCAGUGGCGAAGGCGACUACCUGGACUGAUACUGACACUGAGGUGCGAAAGCGUGGGGAGCAAACAGGAUUAGAAACCCCUGUAGUCC